GAUGAACGCUGGCGGCGUGCCUAAUACAUGCAAGUCGAGCGAACAGACGAGGAGCUUGCUCCUCUGACGUUAGCGGCGGACGGGUGAGUAACACGUGGAUAACCUACCUAUAAGACUGGGAUAACUUCGGGAAACCGGAGCUAAUACCGGAUAAUAUAUUGAACCGCAUGGUUCAAUAGUGCAAGACGGCUUUGCUUUCACUUAUAGAUGGAUCCGCGCCGCAUUAGCUAGUUGGUAAGGUAACGGCUUACCAAGGCAACGAUGCGUAGCCGACCUGAGAGGGUGAUCGGCCACACUGGAACUGAGACACGGUCCAGACUCCUACGGGAGGCAGCAGUAGGGAAUCUUCCGCAAUGGGCGAAAGCCUGACGGAGCAACGCCGCGUGAGUGAUGAAGGUCUUCGGAUCGUAAAACUCUGUUAUUAGGGAAGAACAAAUGUGUAAGUAACUAUGCACGUCUUGACGGUACCUAAUCAGAAAGCCACGGCUAACUACGUG
rnacentral:rRNA from 1 species